UACGGAGGGGGCAAGCGUUGUUCGGAUUUACUGGGCGUAAAGCGCGUGUAGGCGGUUUAAUAAGUUACUUGUGAAAUCUCUGAGCUUAACUCAGAACGGCCAAGUAAUACUGUUAAACUAGAGUGCAGAAGGGGCAACUGGAAUUCUUGGUGUAGCGGUGAAAUGCGUAGAUAUCAAGAGGAACACCGGAGGCGAAGGCGGGUUGCUGGGCUGACACUGACGCUGAGACGCGAAAGCUAGGGGAGCAAACAGG
rnacentral:rRNA from 1 species